UACGUAGGGGGCUAGCGUUGUCCGGAAUCAUUGGGCGUAAAGCGCGUGUAGGCGGCCCGGUAAGUCCGCUGUGAAAGUCGGGGGCUCAACCCUCGGAUGCCGGUGGAUACUGUCGGGCUUGAGUGCGGAAGAGGCGAGUGGAAUUCCUGGUGUAGCGGUGAAAUGCGCAGAUAUCAGGAGGAACACCUAUUGCGAAGGCAGCUCGCUGGGACGUUACUGACGCUGAGACGCGAAAGCGUGGGGAGCAAACAGG
rnacentral:rRNA from 1 species